rnacentral:snRNA from 1 species
AUACUUAGCUGGCAGGAGAGAUACCAUGAUCACGAAGGUGGUUUUCCCAGGGCGAGGCUUAUCCAUUGCACUCCGGAUGUGCUGACCCCUGCGAUUCCCCAAAUGUGGGAAACUCGACUGCAUAAUCUGUGGUAGUGGGGGGCUGCGUUCGCGCUCUCCCCUG